rnacentral:rRNA from 1 species
AGGUGAGCUCAGUGACUGGGGCUAAGUCGUAACAAGGUAGCCGUAGGGGAACCUGCGGCUGGAUCACCUCCUAA